UGUUUUGGUGUGACUGUUGCGGUAUGUGUGGAUUUCCAUAAUUUUCUCAGACAAUAAGGAUAUAACGUUGGAGGCUCAUGUUUUGUUUGGACACUGCUACACGUAAAGGUACUCCUUGUUGCGCGGUAUAACCGAAUUAUACAGAACACCCCAGCGUCGGUGCAACAGUGCUGCAUCAGUUUAAGAUAUUGUGUCCGUCAAGACCCUGGCGAAAUUGGGUGACGAAAGGUACUUCCAGCAUGGACAAUGUCUUCAUUCCAUUCUCAGCACCAGGUCUUCCUCAAGGGUCAAAACUUUCAACAUACUUAACAAGUCGCGUCUCGGAGCCAGCAGAGGUGAGCAGCGUUAUGGCCGGGCUCAGCCUGGCCUCCGGCUCUUCACCGGCGGGCAAGGCGGGCGGGGCGCGCGCGCUGGCGGCGCGCGCCUUCACGCCCGAAGCCGUCGCCAAUGGCUCACCGCCGGACGCCGCCGGCGCCACUCUGGACGAGUCCUCGUCCGACC